GAUGAACGCUGGCGGCGUGCCUAAUACAUGCAAGUCGAGCGAACAGAUGAGGAGCUUGCUCCUCUGACGUUAGCGGCGGACGGGUGAGUAACACGUGGAUAACCUACCUAUAAGUCUGGGAUCACUUCGGGAAACCGGUGCUAAUACCGGAUAAUAUAUUGAACCGCAUGGUUCAAUAGUGAAAGACGGUUUUGCUGUCACUUAUAGAUGGAUCCGCGCCGCAUUAGCUAGUUGGUAAGGUAACGGCUUACCAAGGCAACGAUGCGUAGCCGACCUGAGAGGGUGAUCGGCCACCCUUGAACUGAAACGCGGUCCAGACUCCUACGGGAGGCAGCAGUAGGGAAUCUUCGGCAAUGGGCGGAAGCCUGACGGAGCAACGCCGCGUGUGUGAUGAAGGGCUUCGGAUCGUAAAACUCUGUUAUUAGGGAAAAACAAAUGUGUAAGUAACUAUGCACGUCUUGACGGUACCUAAUCAGAAAGCCACGGCUAACUACGUG
rnacentral:rRNA from 1 species